UACGUAGGUGGCAAGCGUUGCCCGGAUUUAUUGGGCGUAAAGGGAACGCAGGCGGUCUUUUAAGUCUGAUGUGAAAGCCUUCGGCUUAACCGAAGUCGGGCAUUGGAAACUGGGAGACUUGAGUGCAGAAGAGGAGAGUGGAACUCCAUGUGUAGCGGUGAAAUGCGUAGAUAUAUGGAAGAACACCAGUGGCGAAAGCGGCUCUCUGGUCUGUAACUGACGCUGAGGUUCGAAAGCGUGGGUAUCAAAC
rnacentral:rRNA from 1 species